GCUCUGCGCUCAGGGCUGAAACGGUAGAGCAGAGGUGAGCGCGCACAGAACUCUUACCUGUCCAUUCAUCACCGACAGAUCAUCCUCAGAAGCAGAGCGCGCUUAAUGACGAGUGUGUGUGUGUGUGAGGGUCAGAGGUCAUGAUGUCUGCGGUGUGUAUGCUGUCCGUCCUGCUGCUGAUCUGCGGUCAGCUGGAGGCGAAAUCCCUGAUGGAGAUCCUCAGCCCGGAUGGAGCGCUCAGUCUGGACUCCAGCAAGGCUCAUGAGUUUCUGUCCAGUUCUCGACCCAAGCGGAGCCUG